GCCUCUCGGGAUUCUUUUCUUUCGCAGCAUCGUAGUUUUGUUGCUCCGGUAGCCACUGUCUGAGACAAGUAAGAAGAGAAACAUCAUUAUGGAGGAGAUAGCAACAUUAAUGGCAUUAUCCAGAUAGUAUUCCUCAAAGUUUUCUUGCAUAGGCUCUUAUACUACUACUCAUCUUGUUCUUUGUGAACGAAAAAAUUGCUUUGUGUAAUUAGCAUAUUAAUUUACAUGCGUAUGUUUUGGUUAAUUUGAAAAUAUAUAUCUUUAUUUUGUGUUUAGUUGUUGUUGGAACCCAUUCUGAGUUAUGUCUAUAAAUAUUGGUGAGAUUUGAUAUCCA